AAUGGACAAAGAACUUUAAAAGACAUUUCUCCAAAGAAGAUAUACAAAUGGCCAAUAAGUGCAUAAAAAGUCACUAGGAAAAUCCCUAGUCAUUAGUCAGGAGUCUUUACCAGAACCACAGUGAAAUACCAGUUCAUAUCUACUAGGAAGACUAGGAUUUUAAAAAGGGAAAAUAACUGAGUGUUAGCAACAUAUAGAGAAACUGGAAGCCUCACAGGUUAUGGUGGGGAUAUACAAUGGGGCAGCUAUUGGGGAAAACAGUUUGGUGGCUCCUCAGAGAGCUGAAGGUGAAAUUAACAUAUGACCCAGCAAUUCCACUCUUAGGUAUACACCCGACAGAACUGAAAACAGGGGUUCAAAGAGAUAUGCCUAUGUUCACGGACACAUUAUUCACAACAGCCAAAACAUGAGGACCACUCCCGGGUCCAGCAACAGAUAAAUGUAUAAACAAAUGUGGUGUAUACAGAAAAAAGAAUGAAAUUCUGACACAGCUACAAUACAGAAGAACCUUGGAAGCAUCAUGCUAAGUGAAAUAAACCAGACCCAAAAGGACAAAUAUUGUAUGAUUCCACUUGUAUGAGAUACCAAGAACAGACAACUUUAGAAACAGAAUGUAGAGAGGUUACCAGGGGCUGCAGAGGGAAGGGGACACGGGAAUAGGGCUAAAUGGUCACAGAUCUUCUAUUUAGGGUGAUGAAAAACAUUUGAGAACAGAAAAUGGUGAUGGGUGCAUAAGAUGGUGAUGGGUGUGAAUGUAAUAAUGCCAACAAAAUUGCACAUUUUAAAAUGGUUAUAAUGGCUUGUGCUACAUAUUUUACCAUAAUUUUUUAAAGGAAUUAAGAAAAAUAAAGGCAUUUUCAGAAGGAGAAAAAAAAAAAGCUCUCUGAGAGCUUCUCACCGCACUUCAAAGAAAAUAUGAAAUCCUUACCAAGAUCUACAAGUCCCAAUACAGUCAGCCCCUAGCUACGUCUGUUCUCACUUCAUUUCCCUCUCUGCUCCCCACUCCACAUUUACUACAUUCCAGUCACAUGUCUGCCUUUUUUCUGUUCCUCCAUAAUAUCACCUGCCAAGGCCUCCGACCUACCAGGAAUACAGUUCCUGCAGCUCUUCAAGGGGAUGGUUCCUUCUCGCCCCUCAGGUCACCUCCUCUGAGGGGCCUUUCCCACCCAUCCUAUCCAGACACAUCUAAUCUUUAACAUGUAAAUAACAGAACACAGGGAAAACGAGAAUAACAAAUGGCAAUUUCCAAAGAUGAUUCCAAAAUUCAGAACACACCAGAACCCAGAAGUUCUAUUAUUCCGGAGCACAACAGAUACAAUGUGAGACUCAACAUUACACAUAAAAGGACGCUGAGCGUGAUACACCCAGACGACCAUCUCUGGUUGUUCCAAAAAUAAAAAAUAAAAACAAAAAUGCUACAAAUUAAGCAACA